rnacentral:rRNA from 1 species
AUGACUUUACCUAGCACACUAUCCAGAUUUUAUCACUUGAAAUUCUUGGACCUAAGUAGUUGGUACGGUAGUUCUAAUUUGCCUAAGGUCAUUAGCCACCUUGUGAAUUUACGCGAUUUUCUUGCUAAGAAAGAACUCCACUCCAAUGUUCCUGAGGUUGGAAAGAUGAAGCAUCUACAUGAGCUGAAAGAAUUCCAUGUUAAGAAAGAAAGUGUUGGAUUUGAUUUAAGAGAGUUGGGGGAAUUGAGAGAGCUUGGGGGAGCACUCAGUAUACAUAAUCUUGAAAAUGUGGCAUCCAAGGAAGAAGCUAGUGGCGCCAAAUUGGUGUUGAAAAGGGAUUUGAAAGAGUUGACAUUAGUUUGGGGCAGAGCGCAACCAACUGAUAUAGAUGCUGAUAUUCUUGAUGCUCUUCAACCACACUCUAACCUUACAACACUUGGCAUCAUGAAUCAUGGUGGUACCACUUGUCCUAGUUGGUUGUAUCCUGAGAUACGGGUGGACAAUUUGGAGACUCUCCAUUUGCACGGCGUGUCUUGGGGAACCCUUCCACCUUUUGGCCACCUGCCAUAUCUCAGGGAACUCAGCUUGAAGAGCAUUUCUGGACUGUGUCAGUUUGGUCCUAACUAUGGUGGUGUUACAGGCAAAUGUCUUAUGCAGUUGAAGAAAGUAUUGUUUCAUGACUUGUCAGAUCUUGUCGAGUGGGUUGUGGAGCCUAAUUGCCGUAUGUUUCCAAGUCUUGAAAGCAUCGAUUGCAGCAAUUGUCCCAAUCUAUGUGUGAUGCCCUUCUCGGAGUGCUCUUGUGCCAGUUUGUGCAGGCUUCGCAUUAAUGGUUGCCCCAAGUUGUCUCUGCCCACCAUGCCUCACACCUCCACACUAACAAAUUUUGCUGUUAACAAGGGUUCAGAAAAGUUGUCUUACCAUGGAAAAGAAUUUGUUGUUAGCAAGUAUUCUGGUGCCUUGGCCUUCCACAAUGUGGGUGAAGUAGAUGAUAUGCAAAUUGGAGAUGUAUCACACAUUUCGUGGACAGACCUUGAAAAGUUUAAAUCCUUGAGAAAACUAGAUGUCAGAAGAUGCGACAGCAUGUUCUUUGGAGAACUGGAUGGCAGUCUUGUCUUCCACAACAUGGAUAAAGUUGAGAGUCUCAGUGUAGAUGUUUCUCAUUUUACCGGAAAAUUCUUGUCAAAAGUCUUCAAUAGUUCCCCAGCUCUUGCUGAACUGGAGAUAUAUGGCAGUGAAGACGAUGAGGAACAAGCAAUACAGUUCCCAUCAUCUAGCUCACUGCGGACACUUAGCUUCGGGUGCUCGAAUGGCCUGGUUCUUCUGCCUGCGGAGGAUGGAGGAGGACUCCAUGACAGCACGUCGCUCCAGUCAUUAGAAAUAUUUGAAUGCGGCAAGUUGUUGUCUCGGUGGCCCAUGGGAGAAGCAGGAGGAGCUCUGAUGACCAAUCCUCUCCCUGCUUCCCUCAGGAAACUAAAUAUUAUCGGAGAGUCAAGCAUGUCGUCAAUGGCUUUGAUCUCAAACCUCACGUCUCUCACCCAUCUAAGGCUAGUAGGCUAUCAGAAUUUAACAAUGGAUGGGUUUAAUCCUCUCAUCGCAGUCAACCUCAAGGAAUUGGAGGUCUUUAACUGGAACGGCAACUCUCUAGCAGCAGAUCUUCUCUCAGAGGUAGCAAGGACCAAAUUAAUGGAUGCGGGUUCCUUCCAGUUGGAGAAACUGAAUGUGGAUAGCAUCUCGGCGGUUCUUGUUGCCCCCAUUUGCAACCACCUCUCCGCCACCCUCCACGUAUUGCAAUUCUAUGUUGAUAAGCGGGCAAAAGGCUUCACGGAAGAGCAAGAGAAUGCACUUCAGCUCCUCACCUCCCUCGAGAAACUAGAAUUUUAUCGCUGCACGGUUCUGCAGUCCCUCCCUCAAGGAUUACAUCGCCUUUCUUCUCUCAAAGAAUUAGUAAUCCUCAGUUGUCCCAAACUCCGAUGGCUGCCAGAGCAGGGCUUCCCCACUUCGCUGCAAGCUCUACAUCUAUGA